AGUGUGCGGAAUGUGUGGUGUAGCGGUGAAAUGCUUAGAUAUCACACAGAACACCGAUUGCGAAGGCAGCACACUAAGUCAUUAUUGACGCUGAGGCACGAAAGUGUGGGGAUCAAACAGGAUUAGAUACCCUGGUAGUCCACACUGUAAACGAUGAUAACUCGCUGUCGGCGAUACACAGUCGGUGGCCAAGCGAAAGCAUUAAGUUAUCCACCUGGGGAGUACGACCGCAAGGUUGAAACUCAAAGGAAUUGACGGGGGCCCGCACAAGCGGAGGAACAUGUGGUUUAAUUCGAUGAUACGCGAGGAACCUUACCCGGGCUCGAACGGUGCAUGAAUAUACGAGAGAUUGUAUAGUCCUUCGGGACAUGUAUCGAGGUGCUGCAUGGUUGUCGUCAGCUCGUGCCGUGAGGUGUCGGCUUAAGUGCCAUAACGAGCGCAACCCUUGUCAUUAGUUGCCAUCAGGUCAAGCUGGGGACUUUAAUGAGACUGCCACCGUAAGGUGUGAGGAAGGGGGGGAUGACGUCAAAUCAGCACGGCCCUUAUGUCCGGGGCGACACACGUGUUACAAUGGGAGGUACAGAGGGCAGCUAUCCGGUGACGGAAUGCUAAUCUCCAAAACCUUUCUCAGUUCGGAUUGGAGUCUGCAACUCGACUCCAUGAAGGUGGAUUCGCUAGUAAUCGCGCAUCAGCCAUGGCGCGGUGAAUACGUUCCCGGGCCUUGUACACACCGCCCGUCAAGCCAUGGAAGCUUGGGGUGCCUGAAGUUCGUGACCGCAAGGAGCGACCUAAGGCAAAACAGGUAACUGGGGCUAAGUCGUAACAAGGAACCNAAAGGCAAUCUACUCG
rnacentral:rRNA from 1 species